GAUUUUAAAAGCAGUUCUUUCUUUAAUAAGGGCACCUUCUUCUUGAGAGAGGGGCCGUAAUAAAGGGAAGAACAGAUUUUGAUUUAAAAUCGUUGUGUUAAUUCCAUCAGAAUCACUAGUGUAAGGUCGAAUUUGGUUAAUAAAAGUUAUUCCUAGAAUGAUAUCUUCUGUGAUACCUUCAGUGAUGACGAAAUCAUUAACAAGACAAAUGCCAUUGUUACAGAUAUGGGCUUUGGAAAGCUUGUAAUCGAUUUGCAUCUUUUCUCCGGUGGCAGAGUAGAGACGAGAGGUGCUUUUGUGUAGAUAUUUAGUGGGUAUAAGACCCUUGAUGAUACAAUUGUUG
rnacentral:lncRNA from 1 species